ACCUGAUGAUGAGGGAAUUUACAGAGUAAGUCCCUAAAACGCUCCUAGAUCUCAAAGAAAAGUUUGCCAUCCAUCUUUAAAAAACUCGUGAUGGCUCUCUAAAACU